rnacentral:piRNA from 1 species
UCCUCGUCGCUGUGAGUCCAAGA